GCCGGAGUAGCUCAGGGGUAGAGCGCAUCCUUGGUAAGGAUGAGGUCACGAGUUCAAAUCUCGUCUUCGGCU
rnacentral:tRNA from 1 species